rnacentral:lncRNA from 1 species
GCAAUCAUAAUUACCAUUUAGUAACAUUCCUUUGAUACAUUAGGCCGAUCGGAUCCAUACCAAAUACACGGUACAUAACACGCUCCAGUACAGUACAAUACACGUACACAGCUGUCGUUUUCGUACGUACACGCUUUAACAGCUCAAGGUCACAGCCGCGCGCAUCGGUAUUACCGCCACGCAGCACCUCUUUGUCUAUAGCUAAACACCAAGCACCGUCGUGCUUUACCACGACCACCACGUACGGGACGCGAAGAGCACCGGCCAGCGAGCACACGGACGCCGAGGUAGACGGAGCCCCCCGCUCGAUCCGGCGGCGGCGGGCGCGCUCACGACAGGUCCUGGCACCCGGCGAGCGGGGUCCCGUGGUGGCACUCGUUGUGCGCGUACGGUUUGCACCCGUGCUUGAUCACGCCGUGACCCCUGGGGAGCGGCCCGCACAGGUUGUUGUAGCUGAGGUCCAGCUUCUGCAGCGUGGAGAGGCGCUCCAGCGACGCCGGCACGGUGCCCCG